rnacentral:lncRNA from 7 species
AGGAUAGGAACGCCACAUUUAAUUAUUUUGGUUUCAAGACCUGGAUUAGUUCACAAUCGACAUAAAGUUGACCAUUUUGAUUUUUUUCCUGAAGAAAAUAACAUACAAGCUGUUAUAUUUAUUUCAAAGCCUUCCACUUAAACAGCAUUAAAAUAUUUCUUUCUUUUUUGUAUGAUUUCUUUUUUGUAGUGUGCAACAUGCGUAGUAAAUUUUGGAAGUAAACAAAUAAGAAACCCUUAUAUUUGUUCCAAACACAUAGAAAUAUGAUAGCUUAUAAACAGCUAAAGUGUCUUUUUUUUUUUUUUUAAGUGAAAGUGAAAUACUGGCAAAUUUCAAGUUCUCAUGGAUACAGAAUGUAUUCUCCUAGUAAUGCUAAAGCCAUUGCUUCUUCAGAGCUUGUUUUACUGUAAAUAUAUUUCAUAAGUGCACUCAAUCUAGCAGGAAACAAUGAAAAUAGUUAAUAUCAAAUAAUUAUUUUGGGCUGUGAAAGGGAAAAAGGGCUAAUUAAAGAGUUUUGAUAUGAUUUCUUGUCACUUGUAUAACAGUGUAACCCCUCAGCCACUUCUCUCUUUCUUUUCUCUAUAAUACUCUUGUGUCUUUUAUCUCUGUUCCUAUUUUAUUAAGAAAAUAUCUCAGGACAAGACUGACAUUUCACUACGGUAUCAUUGUUGAAAAAUGCUGUGCUUUAGAAAUAGAAAAAAGAACAGUAAUUUGGAAACUGAUUCAACAUUUGCUUAACUGUUCAUCCUUGGGAGAGAUAAUCACGCUAUGUGUGUAAAUGAGUGCCAGUUGCUUGGCUCAGCUGCCCUGCUGAAGGACUCUGGACAGACAGCCUCUGCUCCUCUCUCUUGCCCAGGUGAACGUGUAAUCAGGUCUCACAGCUUCACUGAAUCCAUGCCUAUAUCUCGUGGGUAAACUUAACCAGUCAAGAAUCACACUCCAAAACAGGAUAAUGGAAAAACUCACAUGGACUACCGUGAUACACAUCUCUGAUCUUUGGAGUAGUCCUUAAGACUCCAGAGAAAUCUAAAAGACACCGACUCCAGAAAUCUUCACAAAUGGCUUCUGGAUCUGAGGGGAUUGU